rnacentral:rRNA from 1 species
AGUGAACGCUGGCGGUAGGCCUAACACAUGCAAGUCGAACGGCAGCACAGGAGAGCUUGCUCUCUGGGUGGCGAGUGGCGGACGGGUGAGGAAUACAUCGGAAUCUACCUUUUCGUGGGGGAUAACGUAGGGAAACUUACGCUAAUACCGCAUACGACCUACGGGUGAAAGUGGGGGACCGCAAGGCCUCACGCGAUUAGAUGAGCCGAUGUCCGAUUAGCUAGUUGGCGGGGUAAUGGCCCACCACGGCGACGAUCGGUAGCUGGUCUGAGGGGAUGAUCAGCCACACUGGAACUGAGACACGGUCCAGACUCCUACGGGAGGCAGCAGUGGGGAAUAUUGGACAAUGGGCGCAAGCCUGAUCCAGCCAUACCGCGUGGGUGAAGAAGGCCUUCGGGUUGUAAAGCCCUUUUGUUGGGAAAGAAAUCCUAUCGGUUAAUAACCGGUGGGGAUGACGGUACCCAAAGAAUAAGCACCGGCUAACUUCGUGCCAGCAGCCGCCGUAACAC